GGAGGGCCCACCCGACGGCUGGCGACGGGCGCUGUCUUGAAAACAGUUGGUGCAUAGACAUGUAGGGGUUCGAUCCCCCUGCCCUCCGC
rnacentral:tRNA from 1 species